UACGUAGGUGGCAAGCGUUGUUCGGAAUUAUUGGGCGUAAAGAGCUCGUAGGCGGUUUGUCGCGUCUGCCGUGAAAGUCCGGGGCUCAACUCCGGAUCUGCGGUGGGUACGGGCAGACUAGAGUGAUGUAGGGGAGACUGGAAUUCCUGGUGUAGCGGUGAAAUGCGCAGAUAUCAGGAGGAACACCGGUGGCGAAGGCGGGUCUCUGGGCCGAUACUGACGCUGAGGAGCGAAAGCGUGGGGAGCGAACAGG
rnacentral:rRNA from 1 species